GCCUGAUGCAGCCAUGCCGCGUGUGUGAAGAAGGCCUUUCGGGUUGUAAAGCACUUUCAGUCGUGAGGAAGGUGGUGUUGUUAAUAGCNGUAUCAUUUGACGUUAGCGACAGAAGAAGCACCGGCUAACUCCGUGCCAGCAGCCGCGGUAAUACGGAGGGUGCGAGCGUUAAUCGGAAUUACUGGGCGUAAAGCGCAUGCAGGUGGUUUGUUAAGUCAGAUGUGAAAGCCCGGGGCUCAACCUCGGAAUAGCAUUUGAAACUGGCAGACUAGAGUACUGUAGAGGGGGGUAGAAUUUCAGGUGUAGCGGUGAAAUGCGUAGAGAUCUGAAGGAAUACCGGUGGCGAAGGCGGCCCCCUGGACAGAUACUGACACUCAGAUGCGAAAGCGUGGGGAGCAAACAGGAUUAGAUACCCUGGUAGUCCACGCCGUAAACGAUGUCUACUUGGAGGUUGUGGCCUUGAGCCGUGGCUUUCGGAGCUANCGCGUUAAGUAAACCCCCUGG
rnacentral:rRNA from 1 species